rnacentral:rRNA from 1 species
CCUGACGGCAAAAGCGAGCGGGAACCACCCGAUCCCAUUCCGAACUCGGAAGUGAAAACGCUCUGCGCCGAUGGUAGUGUGGCUUGUUGCCAUGUGAGAGUAGGUCACUGUCAGGC